GGAGAAGGCUCUUGGCUCAGCGGUAGAGCAUCUGUCUUGUAUACAGAAGAUUCCGAGUUCAAUCCCUGGCAUCUCUA